rnacentral:rRNA from 2 species
CCUACGGGAGGCAGCAGUGGGGAAUAUUGCACAAUGGGCGCAAGCCUGAUGCAGCAACGCCGCGUGAGGGAUGACGGCCUUCGGGUUGUAAACCUCUUUUAGUAGGGAAGAAGCGAAAGUGACGGUACCUGCAGAAAAAGCACCGGCUAACUACGUGCCAGCAGCCGCGGUAAUACGUAGGGUGCAAGCGUUGUCCGGAAUUAUUGGGCGUAAAGAGCUCGUAGGCGGUUUGUCGCGUCUGCUGUGAAAUCCCGAGGCUCAACCUCGGGCCUGCAGUGGGUACGGGCAAACUAGAGUGUGGUAGGGGAGAUUGGAACUCCUGGUGUAGCGGUGGAAUGCGCAGAUAUCAGGAAGAACACCGAUGGCGAAGGCAGAUCUCUGGGCCAUUACUGACGCUGAGGAGCGAAAGCGUGGGGAGCGAACAGGAUUAGAUACCCUGGUAGUCCACGCCGUAAACGUUGGGAACUAGAUGUAGGGUCCAUUCCACGGAUUCUGUGUCGCAGCUAACGCAUUAAGUUCCCCGCCUGGGGAGUACGGCCGCAAGGCUAAAACUCAAAGGAAUUGACGG